rnacentral:rRNA from 1 species
AUUGAACGCUGGCGGCAGGCCUAACACAUGCAAGUCGAGCGAGCGGCGGACGGGUGAGUAAUGUAUGGGGACUGCCCGAUAGAGGGGGAUAACUACUGGAAACGGUGGCUAAUACCGCAUACUAUCGGAUAACCCAUAUGGGAUGAUCUAGUAGGUGGGGGAAAGGCUUACCUAGGCGACGACCUCUAGCUGGUCUGAGAGGAUGAUCAGUCACACUGAGACUGAGACACGGCCCAGACUCCUAAGGAGGAAGCAGUGGGGUAUAUUUAACAAUGGGCGCAAGCCAGAUGUAGCCAUGCAGCGUGUAUGAGGAAGGCCUUAGGGUUCUAAAGUACUUACAGCGGGGAGGCGUUACCCGAAGAAGAAGCACCGGCUAACUCCGUGCCAGCAGCCGCGGUAAUAC